AGGAUGUGGAAGUGCAGAAAUUGAGCUUUGGCCGCGACAGUCUGAGAAAGGACUAGCAGGUUGGAAGACACCCCUGAGUCCAAAGUGGAAAUGAUGGAGUACCAACAAAACUACAUAACAGGAUAUAAGUCGUGAAGAAUACACAUGUGAUCCAACAGAGGAGCUGCAUCAACAGCCUUCAGUGCUUCCAACCACACACCUAUAUAAAGAAUAUAAAGAAUCUGAAAACGAGCACACAUUCUGCCACCUCAAAUUUUAAGAUCAUGUUGUGGCCUGGAUUGUUUUCCUGGGGACUCCUUCCUUGUUUGCAGGUGACCAGCAGAGCUGGUGUCCAUGCCUGGUUCUCCAGCACCACCCACCCAUGGAUUUUGGCUUUACAAGGGACAUCUCUGGCUGUCUGGAUGACUGUUUACCUGGGCACUGAAGUUGACCAAUUGACCAGGCCUGCAGUUAUACUGGUGGGCACAGCAACUGGGUCGAGAAGCUGACUGGUUAUUCCCAUACUUGCCAACAUGCUCACUUAAAAGUACUGCACAUAGGAUGGUUAAGCUUUCUCCAAGUGGAGGGGAAUGGAAGGCAGAGGCAUAAAUGCUAUGUAAUGCUUUUUAUUUUCUGCAAAUAUGGCUGGUAUAUAACAGCUUGUUACUUGCAGAUGUAAAAUACAGUGAUUUGACAUUUACCUUGCCUAUAGUGUAGUCAGCCCACAAAAUCUGUUCUGUUGUCACCAUGCAAGCUUAUGAUGAGACUAUUAAAGUUACACCUCUCUUUUUAAAAAAGAGUGAACACAUGACCAUGUAUCAUAUCAUCAUGGCAAUGAUUAUCAUUUACGUUACUGCUUAUUGUUUAUGGACGUUUCACGGUGGCAACUGUUACUACAACUCAAAGUGACUCCAGUCAAGUUUCUCUGCCCACAAAAGGUACCCAGUUAACCCCGUCCUUUGAGGAAAUUUCUAAAUUGGUACAGAACCAGUUGUCCUGGGGGGAACCCUGUGUGACUUUUCCAAGUUCACCAAACUUGGAUUCAAACUAUUCAGAGGCCUUAACUUGCCAGUGUAGAAGCAUAG